AAAGGCUAGCUUUUUAGAAACAAGUGUUUAUUCACAAAUAUAAAAUAAAAUGGGAUAAUCUAUUUCAAACAUUCAUAAUCUUAAAAUGUAUUUUUAGAUAAAUGUUGGAAGUUAAUAAAAUUCAGGGGAGAACCUAUCCUUUAGCACUUGAUAUUAUUACAAGCUAUUUCAGAACAACGUAUAUUUUUUCAUUUGCUGUGAAGCUGGUAUUAAAACUGUAAUAAUGAAAGAGUUUACUUAUGGCUUCAGCUGUAUCUCUUUUUAUUCAGCUGCAUACCCAUAUAUACAUCGCUACCUGAGUGCUUUAAAGUCAUCUCAACUUAUCUCGUUUAUAACUAACUCCACGAUUGUUUCCCAAACUCUCCCUCUUCUGCAUUUCCUCUUCCUAGUGAAUGGCCCCCUCAUGCCUCCAUUUCUGUACUCCAAAAAAAGAGAAGUAUUCUAUGACAGUUUCAUACUUUAAGUAGGGAAGAGUUUAAUAUGCUGUAACAAAUAGUCCCUAAUUUGGUAUAGGUUAAAUAAAUAACACAAAAGCACAUAUCUUUUUUACAUUGUUUCUAAAUAAGUGGUUUCAGGUUGUUGGAGCAGCCAGCCCUGCUACCUUCAGCACACAACGUCCACUUCUGGGUUUAAGGCAGCUGCUCCACUGCUCAUCAUCUCUUAGUGGAAAAGGGGAAAAGGCAGGGAAUAAAACAUAUGAUCCAAGCAGUGGCACAUAUUACUGCUCACAUACCACUGGCCAGAAUUAGUCACAAGAACACAUCAACUGCAAAGAAGUUGUAAUCUGAGAAAUGUAAUAUCUAGGUGGUUGGCCAUGAACCUGAAUGGUCUAGCAUGGUUUGGGGCUAAAAUUAUAGACCCUUGGGACAGACUUCUUGGGUUCAAGUCCCCGUUCUACCACUUAACAACUGUGUGAUCGCGAGCAAGUUAUUUUUGCUUCUCUGUGUACUAGGUCCUAAAUCCUUCAUAUGGAAAAUGUGCAUAACCCCAUAUAUUUGUAGGAAAAGUUUGUUUGUUUUGGUUUUGUUUUGUUUUGUUUUUGGCAGAGUUUCACUCUUGUUGCCCUGGCUGGAGUGUAACAGCGUGAUCUCGGCUCACUGCAACCUCCGCCUCUCAGGUUCAAGCGAUUCUCCUGCCUCAGCCUCUCGAGUAGCUGGGAUUACAGUCCACCUGCCUCGGCCUCCCAAAGUGCUGAGAUUAUAGAUGUGAGCCACUGUGCCUGGCCAGGAAAGUAUUUAUAAAGCAUUUAGAACCGUGCUUGGUAUACUUAAAUGUUUUUAGGUUAAAGUGAAUGUUAUUAAAGCAAGAGAUAAUGGUUAUUUGUGAACAGGAAGCACUUAAUUUUCAGGCCCUUUCAUUUUUCAUAUUUAACCCAUCACCAAAUUUUGUUGAGUUUACCUCUUAAACUGUCUCCAUGUCUCACCCUGAAUCCACCCUGGAGGAAGGAAAAGGAAGGAAGGAAGGAAGGAAGGAAGGAAGGAAGGAAAGAAGGAAGGAAGGAAAGAAAGAAAACUCCACUAUGAACUACAAAACUCUAUAUACCUAGCUCCAGACUACACUUUGGGCUUCUCAAUCCCCAGGCUUUCAGCACUCUAGCCCCAAAUCCCUUGUUUAAGUUUAUUUUGUAGACAUACUGUGCUUCCUUCAUUCACAAUUUCCUUACACACAGUCUUCUCUCUGCCUGAAAUAUACCCACCCUUCCUUUCCUCCUUUAAUUGACGCCUAUUCCUUUUUUUGGAUUUGAAUUAAUUAUUACGUUUUAUGUCAAGUCUUAGUAACUACCUAGGUAAGGUCAGGUCCCCUUACUCUCAAAAGAAUGUGAUUUUUCCUAGAAAGCACAUAUCAAAGUUUGUGAUAAUGCUAAUUUAUUGUUGAGGGUUUUUUAAAUUUUGUCUAUUUUUCUAUAUUGUGAACUCAUUAAAGGUAAUAAGUAGGUCUGUUUCAUUGAUAUUGUUCAAAACUCUAUUUCUACCUCAUAGCACGUGUCUGACACAUAGCAGGCAUUCAAGAAAUACAUGUGAUGGAAGACAUGAAUACCUAUGAAGAAAAUUACGCUAUGUUAUUGAUGAAAGCUAAUACAAAUAUGCUGCUAAGAACGGAUUCAGGGGUAUCCGUUAGUAGGUAGAAUUGGAAUUAUACCCUGAGACAACCUAUGCAUAAUAAUUUAAAAAUGACUCAACAAUAACUUUAUAUUCAGAAAUGUGCUAUGACUUUUAAAAUAUCUCCCCAAUAAGCAACUGAUUCUGAAUCAGUAGAAAUUAUAAAACAUAUACACUAAUAAAACAACAGAACAUUUCGUUAUUCUUUAUUGGAAAAUGUAUAAACACAAUCAAGGGUAGAGAGUACAAUAAACCCUAUACACCCAUCAUUGACAUCAAUAAUCAAUGCUAUGGCAUACUCAUUUUGUCUAUCUACCCACUUUCCCUGGUGAAGUUUUUUAAAACAAAUUCCCAAAAUAGUCAUUUAAUUUCUAAAUAUUUCAGUAUAUUUCUUUGAAAUAUCAAUAGGAAUAUUUUCUUACACAACCACAUUGACAUUAUCUCACUUAAGAAAAUUGAACAUCCAGGCAAUAUACAAUACCUACUCCAUAUUCAGAUUUCCUCUCUUAUCUAAAUUUAUUUUUACAGUUGGUUUAUUCAACUCAGGAUCCAAAUAAAGUCCACUCAUUGUACUUGGUUAUUAUGGAAAUAGUAAUGUGUUUAAAAAAGUAUAUCUGUUCAAUAACAGAUCUCAUAACUUAUGUCUCUAUACCAGAUAGCUAAGAAUAUAUAGAUAUUUUCACUUCAUUUUAGUAAUCACAAGCAUGACAAAGUAAAGACAACUACAAAUUUUUUGAAAUGCCUCCAGUUAAGAAGUGGAAGCAGUGUCCUCUCUUCUUGAAUACGCUUUGGAAAACUGAAUAUGGUAGAAAUGAUAGUGUGCCAAUUUGGGGGCUCAGGACUUAAGAAACCAGAAGCUUCCAGCUUUGUUUCUUAGAAGAUUCUCUUUGCAAACUCUAAGUUACCAUGCAAGAAAUCUGAGUAUGCUGAAAGCACAAUUAUGGAGAGGCCACAGAUAGGUGCUCUAGUUAAGAGUCCCAGCAAUACCCAGUGCUGCAGUCAUCCCAAUCAAGACAUCAGAUAUGCGAGUGAAGCUGUCUUGGGCCCUCCAAACAAGCCCAUAUGCCAGGUGAAUAGCACCUGGUGGUCUUAGUCAACACCAUAGGUAUCAGAAGAAUUGCCCAACUGAGUCACUAUAUUCUUGACUUCCAGACUGUGAGGUAUUAUACAUGCUUGUUGUUUUAAGAUGCAAAGUUUUGGGGUCAUUUGUUAAGUAGCAAUAGCUACCAAGAAAUAGCUACCUAACAGAAAAUAUGCUUUUCUUAGAACUGCCUUGAAACUUCUGACUGUUCUUUAGUAACAGUAGGUUAUCAUUCCCCUACGCUCAAACUAAACAUGUUUAAUGGAACCCACUGAUAUAACCCAAGAAUGUAAUCAUUUAGCCCUGCCAUUUUUUUUACAUCUGGAACAAUCUCUCCCAAAUCCUUAGUGUGGGGGGAGUGCAUUGAUAACUAGUUUAGUUAAUCACAUCUUUUGCCAGUAAUACUAUAGAUUUUCCUCUCAGCUUCCAAGGUCAAUAGAGCUAUAUUUUAAAUAUGCAUUGGAAGAACGGCACAGAAACGCAUCCAGACAAGGGUCAGAGAAAAAUGGAAGAAAAUAAAUGAAAGCUACAGAGACAUUAAAUGUUUAAUGGUUAGCUUCCAGGCUGCUUCAUGCUACUUUAAGCCCUUAUAUAUGCUUCAAUGUUGUUCCCACUUUUAAAGUUUAACUAAUUUCACCUUGUAAGCUUUUUAAAUGUGUGAGGAAAAAAUAAAUUAUUCUAAAAUAAUGCUUUCAAAUGUUUUAAAUAUUUUUUCCAUGAAGAGCUAGUACCAAGGGGUUAAACUAGAGAUUUUUUAGGACAUUUCAUCCAGAAAGUGAGAUUUCAAAUCAAAGAGAUUCUUCACAAUGUCUAUGUCUGUGUAUUGUAUUCCACUGAGAAAACACUCUGUUGCUCUUAAGCAUCCUCUGAUGCUCUUCCAAACAGCAUUUUCAGUUUAGUAUCUCUGGAAAUAUGAGCAAAUGUCAAAAUUUCCUUCCAAUUAUCUCUUAUUAGUUUAAUUUUUUGAACCAAAAAAAAAAAUAAAGUGUUUCCUUGAACAACUGUGGUCAAUUUCUUUCUUGUUGGCACAAAAGAACAUCACAUGUAAUAUUUCUGUGAAAUAACUUCUUUGAGUCACAAAUAUAGUAUAUCGUGAGUCUUUUUCUUAUAGUACUUAUUCAUAAGAAACUUUUUUUUUUCUUUUUCAGGUACUCUUUUCUAAAUUUCCAACAUCUUUUUCCCCUUUCCUUUAUUUAUUUGCGUUUUAAACAACUUCAUUUAUAAAUCUGGUGACCAAGCACAGGGACUGCAGCCAAAGCACAUUGUAUCUGGUUCUCUUUCAAAAAGACAAGAACAUAUUUCUUUUUAGAGUGAUCAAAGGGACAGGGCAGUUGGCAAAUUUCAAAGCAUGAUUAUGGGUUAAACAUUGUCCUGUUCCCUCAAUGGCCAACUGUUGAAAUAAUUCAUUGGCUAAGAAAGUCUCAGUUACUUUUUCUGGAUAAGGUUUGGGUUUUAAUUAUAUCUGGGCAGUUAGAAAAUGCAAUUCUUUCCUAUGGCUCACAAAUAAUAAAUUUCAAAUCUAUAUGUCAAUGGCAGAAUGAAAACAUUGAAACAUUUUCCAGGAACCAAAUAGCUGGCAUCUUGCUGAUGUAUCCUUAGUUAGAAACCACAGCUGAAAGCUCUGUGGUGACUCCUAACCAACAAGUGCUAACAGGUUUUUUCUCCAAAUGUCCCCCAUGAAAGACAGAUAUAGGGCACUCCGUCACUGUAAAUCCCUGCUUGCCUUCUAACAAAA
rnacentral:lncRNA from 10 species